UGGGGUAUAUUGCACAAUGGGCGCAAGCCUGAUGCAGCCAUGCCGCGUGUGUGAAGAAGGCCUUCGGGUUGUAAAGCACUUUCAGCGGGGAGGAAGGCGUUAAGGUUAAUAACCUUGGCGAUUGACGUUACCCGCAGAAGAAUCACCGGCUAACUCCGUGCCAGCAGCCGCGGUAAUACGGAGGGUGCAAGCGUUAAUCGGAAUUACUGGGCGUAAAGCGCACGCAGGCGGUUUGUUAAGUCAGAUGUGAAAUCCCCGGGCUCAACCUGGGAACUGCAUCUGAUACUGGCAAGCUUGAGUCUCGUAGAGGGGGGUAGAAUUCCAGGUGUAGCGGUGAAAUGCGUAGAGAUCUGGAGGAAUACCGGUGGCGAAGGCGGCUCUCUGGUCUGUAACUGACGCUGAGGCUCGAAAGCGUGGGGAGCAAACAGG
rnacentral:rRNA from 1 species